rnacentral:lncRNA from 1 species
CUGACUUGGGGCCGGCCGCGGGCAGGCGGGCAUCUGGCGGCCGAGGCCGGGACUUCGGGGCCCCUCCCGGGCGAGUCGCGGGGCGGCGGCGGGAAGGGGCGCCGCACGGAGGAAGUGCCCUCUUGGCCGCAGCCAGAGCCGCGCCGCAGGUGCCGCGAUGUCGUCCUGGCCGGGGCGCGAGGAUGCGAGGGCUGGGGGCGCGUGGUGGCCGCGGGAGCCGCUGGAUCAGGAACUGCAGCGGGCCCGGGAGCAGAAGCGGCGGCGGCACGACGCCCAGCAGCUGCAGCAGCUCAAGCGCCUGGAGUCCUUAAAGGGUCUCACCUGUGGCCAGGAGCGGUGGCUCACGCCUGUAAUCCCAGCACUUUGAGAGGCCGCGGUGGACAGAUCACGAGUUAUGAAAAACCUCCUCCUGGGCUUAUCAAGGUUGGCAUUGCAAAUGGUAUGGUCACCGAACAGGCUACAAAGAAUGCCCUUUCUUUAUCAAAGACAACCAAAAGUUACAACAGUUCAGAGUAGAUACAGCAGUUAAAACAGUUACUGGAGGAUUCUACCUCAGGUGAAGAUAGGAGCAGCUCCAGUUCCUCUGAAG